AGAGUUCCAUUCUGGCUCAGGAUGAACGCUGGCGGCGUGCUUAACACAUGCAAGUCGAACGAAGCACUUUAUUUGAUUUCCUUCGGGACUGAUUAUUUUGUGACUGAGUGGCGGACGGGUGAGUAACGCGUGGGUAACCUGCCUUGUACAGGGGGAUAACAGUUGGAAACGGCUGCUAAUACCGCAUAAGCGCACAGUAUCGCAUGAUGCAGUGUGAAAAACUCCGGUGGUAUAAGAUGGACCCGCGUUGGAUUAGCUAGUUGGUGAGGUAACGGCCCACCAAGGCGACGAUCCAUAGCCGACCUGAGAGGGUGACCGGCCACAUUGGGACUGAGACACGGCCCAAACUCCUACGGGAGGCAGCAGUGGGGAAUAUUGCACAAUGGGCGAAAGCCUGAUGCAGCGACGCCGCGUGAGCGAAGAAGUAUUUCGGUAUGUAAAGCUCUAUCAGCAGGGAAGAUAGUGACGGUACCUGACUAAGAAGCACCGGCUAAAUACGUGCCAGCAGCCGCGGUAAUACGUAUGGUGCAAGCGUUAUCCGGAUUUACUGGGUGUAAAGGGAGCGCAGGCGGUGCGGCAAGUCUGAUGUGAAAGCCCGGGGCUCAACCCCGGUACUGCAUUGGAAACUGUCGUACUAGAGUGUCGGAGGGGUAAGCGGAAUUCCUAGUGUAGCGGUGAAAUGCGUAGAUAUUAGGAGGAACACCAGUGGCGAAGGCGGCUUACUGGACGAUAACUGACGCUGAGGCUCGAAAGCGUGGGGAGCAAACAAAAUUAGAUACCCUGGUAGUCCACGCCGUAAACG
rnacentral:rRNA from 1 species